CGGCUUAGAACUAACGCUGGCAGUGCGUCUUAAGCAUGCAAGUCAAACGGGAUGUAGCAAUACAUCUAGUGGCGAACGGGUGAGUAACGCGUGGAUGAUCUACCUACGAGAUGGGGAUAACUAUUAGAAAUAGUAGCUAAUACCGAAUAAAGUCAAUUAAUUUGUUAAUUGAUGAAAGGAAGCCUUUAAAGCUUCGCUUGUAGAUGAGUCUGCGUCUUAUUAGCUAGUUGGUAGGGUAAAUGCCUACCAAGGCGAUGAUAAGUAACCGGCCUGAGAGGGUGAACGGUCACACUGGAACUGAGAUACGGUCCAGACUCCUACGGGAGGCAGCAGCUAAGAAUCUUCCGCAAUGGGCGAAAGCCUGACGGAGCGACACUGCGUGAAUGAAGAAGGUCGAAAGAUUGUAAAAUUCUUUUAUAAAUGAGGAAUAAGCUUUGUAGGAAAUGACAAAGUGAUGACGUUAAUUUAUGAAUAAGCCCCGGCUAAUUACGUGCCAGCAGCCGCGGUAAUACGUAAGGGGCGAGCGUUGUUCGGGAUUAUUGGGCGUA
rnacentral:rRNA from 1 species